rnacentral:rRNA from 1 species
AGUAACGGCGAGUGAAGCGGCAACAACUCAAAUUUGAAAUCUGGCCUCUUUGGGGUCCGAGUUGUAAUUUGUAGAGGAUGUUUCGGGUACCGCCUCGGUUUAAAUUUCUUGGAACAGAAUGUCAAAGAGGGUGAGAAUCCCGUCUUGGACCGGCGGUAGGGCCCAUGUGAAACUCCUUCGACGAGUCGAGUUGUUUGGGA